GGCGUCUGGUUCAAGGUGGCGUCAGAGAUGGAGAGGACGAGGGGCAGUGCGCAUGCAUCUAUCUUAUAUCCUGGGAAUGUUCUCUUAUAUUUAGACUCGGUGGCACUCCAGGGCCGCCACCAUCACCUGACCUUAUCUUUCCUCACCUGGAUGAGAAGUGCAUGCCAACAUGGGUGAUGGAAUGUUAUCAUUGUCGUGGAAUAACCACAAAGCUACAUUUUGUCACAUACUUGCAACACUUAGGGAAAAGGAGAGGUACACAGAUGUGACCCUGGCAUGCGAGGGAAAGUUUUAUCCAGUGCACAAACUGGUGCUAUCAACAUGUAGUGAAUACUUUGAAAGUAUGUUUGAACAGACACCGUGUAAACAUCCUAUUGUAGUGCUUAAAGAUGUUAAACCCGAUGAAUUAGAAGCUCUUUUGAGCUACAUGUACGCUGGUGUAGUGAAUGUGGCACAAAAUGACUUGGCCAAGUUAAUAAAAGUGGCAGAGUUACUCCAGAUAAAAGGCUUAGCUGUCCCAGAUGAACCACCUCAGGAAGUUGAAACCAAGAAGACACACACGCCACCCUGGAGUUCCCGUGAUGAUAGGUCAAGUCCACAUCCCAAAAGAAGAAGAAAAGAAAAUGGAACACCUCAUGGUGAAACACAUAUCUCAAACAGUCCUAAAUCACCAGUAGCCUCGCCUCAUCAUGUAGAAAGUGAUCAUAACCAAGAAAAUUCUAGAACACCUAGUGAAAGUCAUGUUAGUGAACACAGAAUAGACAAAACAUUAGAAAGACUAGAACAGAGGCAGGACAUGAGUUCAGACCAAAAUGUUGACUGUGCAGCCAAACAAGGAUCACCCCUUCAGGUUUGUUCAUUAAUAAAAAAUUUUUUGCAUCUUGGGUUUAUUUGCUGCUGUAGUUUAUCUGAUUUUUUGCUCAACAAUUUGUAAUAUCUUAAUAAAUUGCAGAAGUGAUAAAAUAAAAUGAUUUAAAAUUAUCUUCUCAAACAUAAAUCAUUCACCAGAAGUGGCAUAAAUUUAAUUUCAGGUGUGACUAUAAUGAGUGUAGUCAAAGUAAAUAACUUAAUGGGCUUAAGCACUUGUCAUUCAUGCUUGCCAUCCUCAUCUCAAACUACAAUCACAAGUUUUAGAAAUAAAAAAAUAUUGGAGUGUGCUUGCCAAUAAUUUAGUAUUUUGUAGGCUAUCCCUUGUGUAUUAGCACAUCCUUUAAUUGUCUAAGAAGUGAUUCACUUAAAUUCUUGAGGGUUUCUUGUGAUAAAUUCUCCCAUGACUCAUAAAUGGUUACCUCAGCCAUAGGAGUGAGCUGAUGUUCUUCUCUUGUAGAUCUCUCCAAAGGUUCUAAAUGGGGUUAGUCAGGAAUUUCCUGGCCAGUCAUCAAAGAAGGGUACUUCAGUCACAAAGCCACUAAACAAAUGAUUUAGCAGUGGGGCAUGGAGCACUGUUGCAUUAAAAUCUUUGCACUACUCAAUGUGAAAAAAUUGGGCAAAUGAUCAAAAAUCAAUUCCGUGUAGAUGUAAUGAUUCGUACAUUGGUGCUUGGGCAGCACAAUUGACUGGCUAAUACUUUUAGCACUAAGCUCAAAUGAUUAGAGAUUUGGGGUGUAUGGGCCCUAGGGGUUGCUGCCUAGGUAUCUUUAAAUGUUCCCAACUGUUAAAGGUCACUGUGAAAGUGGCUUCAUAACUCCAAAGCACCUCACUCCACUAUUCUUUAGUCCAUGUUUGAUAUUUCUUUACAAGCACAACUCUGUGCUUUCUGCACAAUAUUGGUUUCUGAACUGGUGUACAGCUGCUGUAACCAAGCUCCUUCACACACCUAUUUACAGUUCUAAUACACAUUAUGAAGCUGCUCUGUAUUCUAUUUUUGUAAUCUCCCAUGUGAUCAUUGAGUCUAAUCUCAAGCUGUCUUAAUUACAGUUAAUGUACAUAUGGAUGCUUUCUAGGCUUUCCAGGAUGUGCUUUUAGUGUGGUCGUGUCAUCACUGCUGUUUCUCGGAACUGACACGGCCAGUUCCUUACUGAAUGCGCGCACGCCAGUGGCUGCCACCAUUGUGCUAUUGUAUUUUGUGUCAGAGAUUACCUUCCCCAUAUCAGUGGACCCCCGGUAUUCGAUAUUAAUCCGUUCCUGAGAGCUCAUCGAAUACCGAUAAUAUCGAAAACCGAAUCAAUUUUCCUCAUAAGAAAUAAUGGAAAUCAAAUUAAUCAGUGCAAGAGACCCAAAAGUAUGAAAAAAAAAAUUUUACUACAUGGAAUAUUAAGUUUAAUGCAAUAGAAUAAUAAUAAAAUAAUUGACACUUACCUUUAAUGAAGAUCUGGUGAUGAUUGAUGGGAUGGGAGGAGGGGAGAGGUGUUAGUGUUUAGAAGGGGAAUCCCCUUUCAUUAGGACUUGAGGUAGCAAGUCCUUUUCCGGGGUUACUUCCCUUCUUCUUUUAAUGCCAGUAGGACCAGCUUCAGAGUCACUGGAUUUCUGUCACACAACAUAUCUGUCCAUAGUGGCCUGUACCUCCCGUUCCUUUAUGACAUCCCUAAAGUGUUUCACAACAUUGUUAGUGUAAUAGUCACCAGCACGGCUUGCAAUAGCUGUGUUGGGUGAUUGUCAUCAAAAAAGGUUUGCACUUUAAGCCACAUUGCACACAUUUCCUUAAUCUUUGAAGUAGGCAACUUCUUCAAUUUCUCUAUCCCCUCCUCCGAAGCAGUUUCCUCAGGUCUGCCCUCUUGCUGUUCAAGAUGAUCUAUCAGCUCAUCAGUGGUUAGUUUUUCACUGUCCUCCUCCACCAACUCUUCCACAUCCUCCCCACUAACCUCCAACCCCAAGGACUUCCACAAUGGAUUCCUCAACUGGCAUAGGAUUCUCAGGGUUAGCCUCAAAUCCUUCACAAUCCCUUUUGUCUACACAUUCUGGCCACAGUUGUUUCCAAGCAGAGUUCAAGGUCCUCUUAGUCACUCCCUCCCAAGCCGUACCUAUCAGGUUUAUACAAUUGAGGAUAUUAAAGUGAUCCUUCCAAAACUCUAAAGAGUCAGUUGAGUUUCUGUGGUCACUAUAAAGCACUUUUGAAACAUAGCUUUUGUGUACAGUUUCUUGAAGUUGGAAAUGACCUGCUGGUCCAUGGGCUGCAGGAGAGGAGUGGUAUUAGGAGGCAAAAACUUGACCUUAAUGAAGCUCAUGUCCCCAGAAAGUCGCUCUGGCAAGUCUGUAGGAUGACCAGGGGCAUUGUCUAAUACCAGGAGGCACUUAAGGUCUAAUUUCUUUUCAGUUAGGUAAUUUUUCACAGUGGGGGCAAAUGCAUGGUGUAACCAGUCAUAGAAAAAGUCCCUAGUGACCCAUGCCUUACUGUUUGCCCUCCACAGCACACACAAAUUAGCCUUGAGGACAUUGUUUUUCCUGAACACUCUGGGAGUUUCAGAGUGAUGCACCAAUAAAGGCUUCACUUUGCAAUCACCACUAGCAUUGGCACACAUCAACAGAGUAAGCUUGUCUUUCAUAGGUUUAUGUCCUGGGAGUGCCUUUUCCUCCUGAGUAAUGUAGGUCCUGCUUGGCAUUUUCUUCCAAAACAGGCCUGUUUCGUCGCAAUUAAACACUUGUUCAGGUUUCAAGUCUUCACUGUCUAUGUAAUCCUUGAAUUCCUUCAUAUUUUUCAGCUGCUUUGUGGUCCGAACUGGCAGCCUCACCAUGCCUAAUCACACUAUGUAUGCCACUACGAUUCUUAAAUCUUUCAAACCAACCUUUGCUGGCCUUAAAUUCACUCACAUCACCACUAUUUGCAGGCAAUUUCUUUACUAAAUCGUCAUGCAACUGCCUAGCCUUUUCACAAAUGAUCGCUUGAGAGAUGCUAUCUCCUGCUAUCUGUUUUUCAUUUAUCCACACCAGUAACAAUCUCUCAGCAUUUUCUAACACUUGCGGUCACUGUUUCGUAAUCACAGUUGCACCUUUUGCAAGAACAGCUUCCUUGAUUGCCGUUUUCCUGGUCACUAUAGUAGAGAUGGUUGAUUGGGAUUUAUUAUACAACCUAACCAGCUCCAACACACGCACUCCACUUUCGUACUUUGCAAUUAUCUCUUUCUUCAUUUCAUAAGUCAUUAGCGACUUUUUUCUUGAAGGGUUGGCACUAGAAGCUUUCUUGGGGCCCAUAGUGACUUAUUUUGCAGAAACAAGCACCAAACACAGUGAUAAUAUGGAUAAUGUGGAAUGUACCGAAUGUAUCCUUAGAUGCGCGCACACUGGCUGGCUUGUAAACACUGGCACACAAGGGGCAGUUCAGGCCUCACGUGGACACGUCUCAUACGAAUCGUAUCGAAUACCGGGUUUUCAAUUGAAUACCGAGGAAAAUUUUUUGCGAUAAAAUGUAUCGAAUACCGGAUUUAUCGAAUACCGAUGCCAUCGAAUACCGGGGGUCCACUGUAUUAGUAGUACUCACCUAUAGCCAAAAAUGUCCAACAAACCCUGUACUCAGGACCACGUGGUGAAGGGACAGUACAGACAUGUCCAUCCAUCACACAAGCUUAGAGAGCACUGAGCAUGUAGGAGGUUUCCUUGCAAUAUCCUGAGAUGCCACUAUGAUUUGCCUGGCCGGCAAACAUUUCUGUCACUCCAAAAUGCCUAAAGGAUCGGGUAUUACUUUUGAUAUUAAAGUUUGCCUGUUGGAGGCACCAGGCAAACUAUAAUGAUGAGCACUGUAAAUGCCAUUUAUUACUUUCUUGAGAGUAAUUCUGUGAUAACUGGCAUGUUACUUAGAGAAUGUAAAAACUACAUUACUAUACUGUACUUGGGUAGAUGGCGAGAAUAUUUUGAAGAACUUUUAAAUGUCGACGAAGAAAGGGAAGCAGUAAUUUCAUGCACUGGCCAGGGAGGUAUACCAUCUUUUAGGAGUGAAGAAGAACAGGAUGUGAGUGUGGGGGAGGUGAGUGAGGCAUUACGUAAAAUGAAAAGGGGUAAAGCAGCUGGAACUGACGGGAUCAUGACAGAAACAUUAAAAGCAGGGGGGGGGAUAUAGUGUUGGAGUGGUUGGUAUUUUUGUUUAAUAAAUGUAUGAAAGAGGGGAAGGUACCUAGGGAUUGGCAGAGAGCAUGUAUAGUCCCUUUAUAUGAAGGGAAGGGGGACAAAAGAGAUUGUAAAAAUUAUAGAGGAAUAAGUUUACUGAGUAUACCAGGAAAAGUGUACAGUAGGGUUAUAAUUGAAAGAAUUAGAGCUAAGACAGAAUGUAGGAUUGCGGAUGAACAAGGUUUCAGAGUGGGUAGGGGAUAUGUAGAUCAAGUGUUUACAUUGAAGCAUAUAUGUGAACAGUAUUUAGAUAAAGGUAGGGAAGUUUUUAUUGCAUUUAUGGAUUUAGAAAAGGCAUAUGAUAGAGUGGAUAGGGGAGCAGUGUGGCAGAUGUUGCAAGUAUAUGGAAUAGGUGGUAAGUUACUAAAUGCUGUAAAGAGCUUUUAUGAGGAUAGUGAGGCUCAGGUUAGGGUGUGUAGAAGAGAGGGAGACUACUUCCCGGUAAAAGUAGGUCUUAGACAGGGAUGUGUAAUGUCACCAUGGUUUAAUAUUUUUAUAGAUGGGGUUGUAAAAGAAGUAAAUGCUAGGGUGUUCGGGAGAGGGGUGGGAUUAAAUUAUAGGGAAUCAAAUACAAAAUGGGAAUUAACACAGUUGCUUUUUGCUGAUGAUACUGUGCUUAUGGGAGAUUCUAAAGAACAAUUGCAAAGGUUAGUGGAUGAAUUUGGGAGUGUGUAAAGGUAGAAAGUUGAAAGUGAACAUAGAAAAGAGUGAGGUGAUGAGGGUAUCAAAUGAUUUAGAUAAAGAAAAAUUGGAUAUCAAAUUGGGGAGGAGUAGAAUGGAAGAAGUGAAUGUUUCCAGAUACAGUAUGUACUUGGGAGUUGACGUGUCGGCGGAUGGAUUUAUGAAGGAUGAGGUUAAUCAUAGAAUUGAUGAGGGAAAAAAGGUGAGUGGUGCGUUGAGGUAUAUGUGGAGACAAAAAAACGUUAUCUAUGGAGGCAAAGAAGGGAAUGUAUGAAAGUAUAGUAGUACCAACACUCUUAUAUAGGUGUGAAGCUUGGGUUGUGAAUGCAGCAGUGAAGAGAAAGUUGGAGGCAGUGGAGAUGUCCUGUCUAAGGGCAGUGUGUGGUGUAAAUAUUAUGCAGAAAAUUCGGAGUGUGGAAAUUAGAAGGUGUGGAGUUAAUAAAAGUAUUAGCCAGAGGGCUGAAGAGGGGUUGUUGAGGUGGCUUUGUCAUUUAGAGAGAAUGGAUCAAAGUAGAAUGGCCUGGGGAGCAUUUAAAUCUGUAGGGGAAGGAAGGUGGGGUAGGGUCGUCCUCGAAAAGGUUGGAAGGAAGGGGUAAGGGAGGUUUUGUGGGCGAGGGGCUUGGACUUCCAGCAGGCGUGCAUGAGCGCAUUCAAUAGGAGUGAAUAGAGAUGAAUGGUAUUUGGGACCUGAUGAUCUCUUGGGGUGUGAGCAGGGUAAUAUUUAGUGAAGGGAUUCAGGGAAACUGGUUAUUUUUAUAUAGCCGGACUUGAGUCCUGGAAAUGGGAAGUACAGUGCGUGCACUCUAAAGGAGGGGUUUUGGGAUAUUAGCAGUUUGGAGGGAUAUGUUGUGUAUCUUUAUAUGUAUAUGCUUCUAAACUGUUGUGUUCUGAGCACCUCUGCAAAAACAGUGAUUAUGUGUGAGUGAGGUGAAAGUGUUGAAUGAUGAUGAAAGUAUUUUCUUUUUGGGGAUUUUCUUUCCUUUUGGGUCACCCUGCCUCGGUGGGAGGUGGCUGACUUGUUAAAAAAAAAAACAAACUUAGGUUUAGAGAGGGAAUGAUAAAUUUUUUACCAAUACUCUGUUUUAGAUGAAAAGAUCAAAAUUAUCCAUUUUUCACCAAAACAGACACUGAUACCAUUAAAAUUAGCUGACGCACACCAAUACCAGUACAGUACUCAGUUUUAGGCCAAGGGCAGUGCCAUCAAAAUUAGCCGAUUGCCCCAUUAUUUUAGCAUACCUCAACCUAAGUUGUGAACUAAUGGCCAUCCCUCUUAUGUUGAUGAAACCUUACCACUGGGAUCUUGUGGUACCAAUACCUUUGAGGUAUUGAUACCACAAGGCAUGACACUUAGAAAUUAAAGUAAUUGCCUCAGCAGCGAGUACAGAAUAAAAGAAAAGUGCAAUAUUCCUGAAAGAUCCUUUCAUCCUGCUUGUUUACUUUUAACCCUUUGACUGUUGCAAGCCCAUUUCUGAAACUGUCAUUCUUUGUCGCAAAUUUUUUGGGAAAAAGAAAAUUAUAUUUUCUUAUGAAAUGAUAAGAGAAUCCUUUUCUGAUGGUAAUGACACCAAAAGCACGAAAUUUGAUUGAAAACUUAAGGAAUUAUGCUCGGUGAUAUAUACGCAUUGGCGAUUUCGCUGACUUUGAGCCCUAUUUUCGGCUAAUUCCAUUGUUCCAGUUGACCAAACUCAUAGCUAUUUCUUUAGAACUCCAUUUUUUCUAUCAAUUGAGUACAAGAAACCGCCCAUUUACCGAUUUCAACUGUCCAAUAAAGUGGUCAGAAAUUGGCAAUUUGGCCAAUUUCACGCAAAUUAAAAAAGAUGCCAAUUUCAAAAUAGGGUCCAGAAUAAACAGUGCAGACAUUAUUGGCACUAAAAUAACAUAUCCUCUGUUCAUUAGUCACGUCUCUAGGCCCCUCUUAUAUUACUCUUGCUUUCUAAUUUUAUUUUUUAUUCACACAAAAAAAAAAAAACAGAAAAUUUACUGUUAUGCAGACUACUGCAUUAUUGUAAAAAUGGUAUAAAUAAUAUCAGUGCACUAGUGAAAGAAUAUUAGACUCCCCAGUUGAUGUGUAUUGGACGUGUGGUGUGAUUUGCUUACACUUGAAUGUUGGCAAAAAUCGAACAUUUCCGCUACUUUGAGCUCAAUUUCAAGGUCGUUUCAUUGCAAAACUAACCAAAAUCAUCUCUAUUUCUGUAAUAUGUUUUCCAUUCUAUCAAAUGAGACCAAGAAAACGAGAAUACAUUCAUAAAUACUAUAGGAAAAUACCCCUCGGAGUCGGUGUUUUAAUCCAAAAACACAGUCAGUUUUUUUUUCUCAUGCGCUGUGUGCUGCAGGAUUUUUUUAUACAGUGCACACUGGCCAAACAGACCCAUUCUCUCACAUGUGGGCCUACCAGCUUUCUCCUGCUUGAUUUGAAGCCGCUAGAAUUAUUGAGUACGUAUAUACGUAUACGUCUGAAACACCGGCUUGUAAGACAUGUAUAUAUGGCCUGAAACAGUCAAAGGGUUAAUCCCUCCUGUGAGGUGCCUUGAAUGAUGUAUCCAGAGAAUUGGACAUACUCCUAUGGGUUUAGUGCUUCCUCCUAAAUAUAAUGAUAAUCUCAACCUUUAAACCAUGCAUGGCUAGGUCUAUGAUAUCUCUGCAUUGGUAACCUUAUAUUGAAUUAAAAAUAAUUUUUCUUGAAGGAUUGCAGAGAAAAAAUUAAAAAUUACUGCAGAGAGAGAACUAAAAAAAAUGUAAAUUUAUCUUUUUAUCGCAUGUUGAUUGGGUUUAAUGCUUAAUUUCAUUAUUAUUAUUAUUAUUAUUAUUAUUAUUAUUAUUAUUAUUAUUAUUAUUAUUAUUAUUAUUAUUAUUAUUACAUGUUGAAUUUUGACAAAUCGAAGCAUACGGUAGUAAUGAUUUGACCUGUCAGAAUUCUGGUGACAGAAGUAGUGGAUAGUACUAAAAUUUUAUACAUGCAUUUCCAUAAUUCCUUUUAACAAUCUUUAGCUUCUGCACAUUUACAGAACUUGUAUGUUUGAUCAUUUUAGAUGUACAGUCUCCGCAAAAAAAAAAAAAAGAAAGCCACGAAAGGAGGAAAAAAACAAAACAAAAAAGAGAUUUGCUGCUGAUUGAGUACCAAACAUUUUAAACAACAAAAAGGCACAAUACCGUGACUGGAACAAUGCACAGAUAACCCACACAUAGGGGAGGGGAGCUUACGACAACGUAAAUGGUCCAAGUUGGACCGAAACGUCGCCGUAAACUCCCCUCUCAUACAUGCAGGUUAUCUGUGUACCAAACAUUUCUCUUGCAUUUCUAACUAUGUAAAGAAAAUGAAUGAGAUACAGUCAUAAGUUUGGGAUCGAUCCCUCCCCUCCCCAUCCCCAGUCAUGUAAACAUUAGACACAGGCACAAAGUUAUCAGCAACCCACGGACCAUGUUAGAGGGAGGUGCCACACUCUCCAUUCAACCCGUUUCUCAUGCAUGACUGCCUAGUUUUGCCACCAUCUACAGCUGUUCCUGUCGGUCAUGAUGGGUUGGAAGAAGCUUUGUAUGGAGGUGAAGACUGUCAUCACUCUCUGGAUGAGGGAGUCCUUGUGAAGGAUAUUGCUGAGAGACUGGGGUGCACCCACAGUUUAUCCUGAAUCUGAAUAAAGCUAUAAACAUCCUGCUUCAUGGCACCACUCCUGCUAGAAAGGGGUCUGGGAGGCCCAGGAAGACCACCCCAUGCACUGAUGCUCUUCUGAAGAGGGAAAUUAUGCUACAACCUAGUUACUUCUUAGGAAUUAAAGCAUUGUGAUGUCCUGAGAGAGACAAGGUGUGUGCACUCUCCGACAUUGGUUGCAAAAAGAUCUGAGGAUGCCAUGUUAGAGGGUUGGCAAAUUCCUUAUCAAGAGUGUGUGUAAAUUUCACUUUGAAUUCUGUGAACAGUACAUGGAUUAGACCCAGGUUGAGUGGAGGAACAUGUUUAGUGAUGGAUCAGCAUUUUGUCAUCAGGAAUGUCUCAAAGCUGGCUCAUUGUUGCAUCAAGAUGGUCAAAUACCCUCCAAGGUCAUGGUUUGGUAGGUGCUUUAUUGGUAAUGGUGGUCCUGGUGGUCUUUAUUUCCUGUCCAAGGGUGGAUGGGAAGACGUACUUAAGUCAUCGAUGAGAUACUCCUCACUCAGUACCAUGUUCAAGGUAUCAGCAACUUUGUGCAUAACAGAGCCCCCAGCCACUGCAGCAUGAAAUUCCUAUUUUGGAGUGGCUAGGUAACAGCCUAGGUGUCAAUAUGAUUGAAAGUGUUUGGCAGGUAUUGAAAUCCAAGGUAGAAGAAUACCAGAUCUCAAGCAUCCCAAGCUUGGUGGAGGGCCUGAAAGUCUAUGGAUUAAUAUGAUUUGACUUGUAUCUCUAAACUAAGUGAUUCUAUGCCAGAAAGGAUUAAAAAAAGUAAUGAAAGCAAAAGGUCAGAUGACCAAAUAUUGAUGUUUUGUACAUUUUAAGUUCUCUAAUAAAGCUCAUUAAAAUA